AUGCUCAUAAACCUGCUCUCCUAGGAGACCUGAAGGCUGCUUCCGCUAACCCGGGCUGGCGCUGCUAACCUCACCCAACGAUCCCUGCUGUCGGAAAAUGUCCAGAGGCACCAUCCCUGCUAUGAAGAGGGAAUGCCAGUACAACAGCCACAAGGGGUCUUCCUGUGGCCCUCAAACAAAAAAUCACUGCAUUACAUCAGCAGACUGCAUUGGAGAGAAAGGCGCCGGGACAGAAAAGCCUGAGAUAAACCACCUGUCAUUCUUGGAGAAAAGGAUGCUGCGGCUUUCCCGAUUUGGUUGAUGAGAUGGAAAAUCAACCCUUACAGGAAGGACAUCACCAAUUCCGGAAAGGAUGCUGCGCCAGUCAUGUUUCCGCACUCUGUGAGACGUUGAAAUCUCCAGAAGUUGCCCAAGGUUUUCAAGCUGAACACAGGAGAAAUGACUCUGGAUCUCUGAGGACUGUUUUCCUCAAUAAGGAGCUGCAAUCUUGGCUCCACCACCCUCCCUCCAAAACAUCUCGUGUGUCUGGUAUCUGGUUAUAUUGUGGCCUGACAGAGAAGUUUCUUUCGGGGCCAGUGAAUUAAAAAAAAAAAAAAAAAGAAAAGCGGGUCCUACCAACUCAUUAAUACUUUAAUACUUUAAAUUUCCCUCUUUAUAGUAGGUUGAAAUGUCAGUAUCUCUUAAGAACAAUGGCUGAACCAAAUGUUUCCUCAAAACUCACAUUUUUUCCCACCAUUUCAGAAGCUGCCUCAGGACUAAGCUUUGAUUUUUUUUUUUUUUUUUAAUCUGGCCCAAAUUCCUAUCUAAGGGGCCUGGGGAGUCAUGCCCAACAAACCAUAAAUUCUCAUCAGAUGAGUUUUAUUUAACCCUAUAUAUGGUGACUUGCUUUCCAGUCUGACUCUGGCAUGACAUGUGACAAAGAAGAAAGUCAAAAUAUUUUACCCCAAAACAUGUUUCUUUGCCAUAUUUUGAAAUGGUCCUGCAAAGCUGUGCUUUGUGGGGGAAAAUAUGCAUCUGUAAAGAAUCUCUAUUAACACAGCUAGAUCUUUUUCUUCCAGGCCCUCCCAAUCCUGAAGAGACUGAGAGUCUAGCAUUGUUUUAAAGGUCUGAAUAGGAAACAUUUGUCAUCUAUCAUCUCUAAGGGUAGCCAUUAUAAGACUUCAAAAGAACCUUUUGAAGUAUUAUAAUCUUUUAUCUUAACCUGAACAUGUGCUUCCUAUUGAUCCCAGGUCUUCAGACAAUUGUGAACUCAACCAUUUGUCAAUUAGAAAAUGUUUAAAUUGGCUGGGCACAGUGUCUCAUGCCUCUAAUCCCAGCACUUUGGAAGACCAAGGCGGGCAGAUUGCCUGACCUCAGGAGUUCGAGACCAGCCUGGGCAACAUGGUGAAACCCCGUCUCUACUAAAAUACAAAAAUUUAGCCGGGCGUAGUGGCAUGCACCUGUAGUCCCAGCUACUUGGGAAGCUGAGGAAGGAGAAUUGCUUGAACCCGGCGGGCAGAGGUUGCAGUAAGCAGAGAUCGUGCCACUGCACUCCAGCUUGGGCAACAAAGUGAGACUCCAUCACAGAAAAAAAAAAGAAAAUGUUUACCUUUACCUAUAGCCUGGAAAUCCCUGCUUUGAGUUGCUCCAUCUUUCUGAACCAAACCAAUGUUAUUUCUUAAACGUAUUUCAUUGAUGUCUCAUGCCUCCCUAAAAUGUAUAAAACCAAGCUGUGCCCCGAACACCUUGGGCACAUGUUCUCAGGACCUCCUGAGGGCCGUGUCACGGGUCAUAAUCACUCAUAUUUGGCUCAGAAUAAAUCUCUUCAAACAUUUUACAGAGUUGACUCUUAGUCAACAUGUCCAUACCUGAUGAGAUGCUUCAUCAAAAUUCUAGUGGACUGGCUAGUUCAGAAAAUGGACCAGCCAGGUUUGCUUAAAUGCACCCCUGCACAACUAUCUCACUCCUGCUUGGAGCCGGCUAGAUCAGGAGACCUGUCCCUAAACUAAUGUACUCCAUGUCUUAAGUCUUUUUGUUUUGUUUUGUUUUUGUUUUUGACAGAGUCUCAGUCUGUCACCCAGGCUGGAGUGCAGUGGCGUGAUCUUGGCUCGCUGCAACCUCCGCCUCCCAGGUUCAAGAGAUUCUCCUGUCUCAGCCUCCCAAGUAGCUGGGACAACAGGUGUGCACCACCAUGCCCUGCUAAUUUUUGUGUUUUAAGUAGAGAUGGGGUCUCACCCUGUUGGCCAGGCUGGUCUCAAAUUCCUGACCUCAGGUGAUCCACCCACCUCGGCCUCCCAAAGUGCUGUAAUUACAGGCAUGAGCCACCGCACCCAGCCCAUGUGUCUUGGUCUUUUUUACUAAUAUUGAUUAUAAAAUGGAUGAAACUUUGGAUAAAAUUUCUGCGUUAGAAUUUCUUUUUAUAUCUGUCCUAAAGCUUGUAACUACUUGCUCAUGAUUUUUUGUGUAUGUUUAGCAAUGUGCAUGUCAUUGAUGGCCUUUGUAAAGUAUGUUCAAUUGAGUUGUGGAGACAGAGGUGCAAUUGGAGUAGGUUGUAAGAAUAAAAAGGAGUAGGCAAAAA
rnacentral:lncRNA from 1 species